GGCGCUUUGCUAGGAAAUCUUACUCUUUGAUUAUCUGCACUUGGUUCAGUAUUUCUAGUAAACAGCGAUAUUUAUCCCCAAGUUUGAGUAAGAUCCCGAAUAAAUCAUGUUGGCUAACAUUUCCAGAGUCUUGCUUCGAAAAGCAGGCAUGUCUACCAGGAUGCCGUCACUGGUAACCCGGACACCAACUACUGUCGUACGUCGCAGCAUGGCCACUGAGCCAAUGGAACUACCCAAGUUGUCAGGUGCCAUCUGGAUGGGUGGUGGUGUGGCGUUUUUCUUCCUAACUGCAGCCUGGGUGAACUUCAAUGAUCUGGUUGUGUGGGGUACUGCUCCAGAGAGACCCAAGUCUGUAUAGAAGAUUACAUUCAGAUUUAUGUAGCACCUAUCUCACUCAAAGGAUAUGCGAGUCACAUUGCACAAUGUAGAGAGAAGUCAACCUAACAUGCAUGACUAGUCAAGCAUUUUGACCAUCCAAACAUAUCCAUGUUCUUAGUUGCACGACCUUGGUCAGUAGUAGAAAUUAGUUUGUUAAUAUUACGUAAUGAUGCAGUAAGACAAAUUAAACCGUAGCUACAUUUGACGUCAUCAACCAUUCAAGAUCACUUAGUGAUCACCUUUAUACAUGCAGUCCAACCACUAAUUUGUUUCUUGACUAGCUUCCCUCGCCCAACUUCAAAGGUGAAGAAAGCCGGGUCAUUUUGACAAUCGGUGAGGUCUGCAAAUUGCCAAAAUAUGGGUACUUUUGUAGAGUUUCUUCUCAAAAUUGUAAAACAGGGUAUAUUUAUUUCAAAAAUUUAAUUGUUGCAAAUCCUAUAUUCACACCUAUUUUUCCUGGUGGAAGUUGUUAAGCACCAGAAUUCAUCUCGGAGCUUUGAGUUCAGCCUGUUGCUCUUCGUACUGCUACCUUGCAGUACUGGAAAACAAAUGUGCUCUGCGGGCACACUGGAACAUAUUUUGGUGUUUGCAAAGACAAGUUGCAAGCAAAGCAUAAAGAUAGAACUCAGCUUUUCUGGGGCCCGCUUAAGGGCCCUGGAAGCUUUUGCAUCCUAGGUACUCUGUAGUGCCAAUUGAGCCACCAUUUUGCACUUAAAUGCACUUAACAAAUAAUGAUGGUCCUUCAGAACCUACAACACUUCCCAUUCCUGUAAAAUGUAUGCGUUGCUGUUAAGUUUAAAGAUGCUCUUAACAAAAAAACCAAAAAAAUGGUAUUUUUUCCAAGUAGUUUUGGACCAGUGUGCUUUGCUUGGAGUGAAAUGAUCACCAUCGUGGUAAUAAUGGGGGACUUUUGAGGUUCAGCAGACUUACCAGGUAAAUCCAUUGUUCUUGUAAAUAAUAUGAGCAUGCUCAAAACGACAGAAACAAAUCAAAAUUUACUUUGUAAGUCUGCUGCCACCUAGUGUUCAAAAGUCUCCCAAUGAAGGUUUACUGAUGGUUUAUGGCGUAGUUGCACAUGGGUAGCUUUACAAGCUGAAUCAUUGUUGAAUGUUCUGGUAGAUGUAGAUUGCAUAACUCAUUUUGAAGUGUGAGUAGGUAUUGCACAUGAUUAUUUGUCUUGUGUUUAUUCAAACGACAUUUGUAGAACUUCAUUUUUAUGAAAAGCAUCAUGUAGUAGUAAAUUUAGUACAUAAAAGUUUAUAAAUUUUAUGAAUUUAAAUAAUAUUAAUAAUUUCAUCAUGCUUCAAGAACCACUCAUGAAAAUAUAUGUGACUAGGUUUACAACAGAAAAUUAGAAGUUUCAGAGGUCCCCAUAACAAAAAUAUUAGCAGGAUUGGCAUCAUGUAUAGUUACAUUGAUUAUGUUCGGAAAACAUUGUCUUAAAAGAAACAAUCUGUAAUUUAUUGAAGUAAACCUGCUGUGUAAAGUACACCUUUUCUCUAGUUUGUUUUCUACAGAAAUAAACCAAACGCACGAUCUGAUUCAUAAUUCCUUGAAUUUUGAAAAUUAAGAAUUUUAUAUUUUUAAAUUUGUUCAAACAGUUUUUCUUGCAUUUUGUUCUCAAACCAAAAUGUAGAAAGGUAUUAUUGGGAACUGAUUUUCUUCCAAAUAACCUGGCUGCUAUUUAGAGGCUAUUUAUGUGAUAUCGCACUUUCAUAUUUAGUUUUUUACUUGCAAUAUUUAUCAACAUUAUGGAAACAUCAACAAGAAUGUCGCAAUAAAACAGUGAGGAAACGUCACUUUGCAAAGAA